AUCCAUGACAGUUUAACCCCAUAAAGCUACACACUACCACUCCUGAGACAUUGGUGAUGAUAGAAGAGAUACCACUCGGGGGUGCCGAUGACCCAGCAGA